AAAAAAACAUCAGCGAGGAGUGAAGCUAACGUGCACCCGACGUCGGUCCGAAAGACCCACCGAGAGCUACCGAGGAUUAACGAGUCCUGCAUGAAAACAAGGAGACCAACCGAGGUGGACCAAGCAUACAAACAUAAGAUGACAUGGAAAGAAGAAUGAUGUGGAUGAGGCCUCGGUCAAUAUGUUGAUUGAGGAUUCCCAGCCCUUCACUAUUGUCGAGGACAAAGGUGUGGGCAAACUCUCCAAAGAUAGUGGGCGAUUUCAAGGGCAGCACCACUGCAAAGGAGAGGCUGACACGGAUGCAGGAGCAAUUGGGCCGCCAAGCACUGAAGCUAAUCCAAGAGGUGGAUACACGCUGGAACAGCACCUACCAUAUGCUCCAAUGUAUUUAUGACCUCAGGGAACCUGUAGGAGCAGCUUUGGCAGGUCUACGCACUGACGUUGCGCCACUCUCAUCCGAAAGUAUGACAUUAUUGCAGAAUGUCUGAAAGUGCCAUCCCCUUUUAAUGAAGCCACAUUUGAGCUGUAAGAGGAGAAGAGAGGGUCCGGGUCAAAAGGCAUUCCCAUUUUAUCAAUGCUACAUAACACACUGGAGGAAGAAAUGGGACAUGUCCAAACUCCAGGUAGCAAAACAAUGGCUGAGAGUCCGAGGAGACAGUUAAGGGAGAAGCUGUCCACGCUGCAAUCAAUGAGCGUCAUGUCACUGGCGACUGCUCGAUCCCAGGUUUAAAAAGAUAGGCUUCUUUAGCUCCAAUAAAGCAGCAGCUGCCGAGAGGAGGCUCACUUCUGAAUGUGCUGUUGUCCGAAACAGUGCAUCUUCCUCCUCCUCCUCAUCGUCAAUAGAACCGCAUGUAUCAGAAGCUUCUCAGCCUGGCUCAAGGUAAUGGAUCCUGGAUACUUUCUGGAUAUUGUAUUAAGUCACUUUCAGCCUGUUUGUCUGUCUUAGGUUGCAAAAUUUGGCAUCGUUCAGACACCACAGUCCUGCAGACGAGGACUCCAAAUGUCACUGCGGACGCAACAGUGGAGGUCCAAGCGUACCUGAGUGAAGCAAACAUCGGAAGAUUGGAGAAACCCCGAGAGUAUUGGGAAGGGCGGAAAAAUGUGUAUCAGAAUUUGUAUACACUUGCUUUUCUCUCUACCCCUGUCUCUCUCCUUCCCUUCCAAAACUCUAGAGCGAGCUAUCUUUAACCAAGUCUCCUCCUUUUUUCACUGCAACAAC